rnacentral:rRNA from 1 species
AUUGAACGCUGGCGGCAGGCCUAACACAUGCAAGUCGAACGAGUGGCGGACGGGUGAGUAAUGUCUGGGAAACUGCCUGAUGGAGGGGGAUAACUACUGGAAACGGUAGCUAAUACCGCAUACCAUCAGAUGUGCCCAGAUGGGAUUAGCUAGUUGGUGGGGUAACGGCUCACAAAUGCGAAGAUCCCUAGCUGUUCUGAGCGGAUGACCAGCAACACUGGAACGGAGACACGGUCCCUACUCCUACGGGAGGCAGCAGUGGGGAAUAUUGCACAAUGGGCGCAAGCCUGAUUCAGCCAUGCCGCGUGUAGGAAUAAGGCCUUCGGGUUGUAAAGUACUUUCAGCGGGGAGGCGUUACCCGCAGAAGAAGCACCGGCUAACUCCGUGCCAGCAGCCGCGGUAAUAC